AUUGCGCUUCGGGAGGUAUCUUUUUUUUAAGGCAAUUUUUCUUUGCUUUAAAAAAGAUAUAAUGAACAGCGGGACAAAUG
rnacentral:sRNA from 2 species